GCAUGGGAUGGCCUUUCUAAAUGGUUUUUUGGCCAAUUCUAUUUCACCAAGACUAUCACAAUCAUGCAAAAAGCAACGGCAUAAAACCGUUGCUUUUUGGAG
rnacentral:sRNA from 1 species